rnacentral:rRNA from 1 species
GUGGGUGGCUAGUNAUUAGUGUGGGUAUUUCUNUNUCUAUCCCCCCUCUUUUCUNUCGUUAGAANUANGGAAAACAACCCCACNGAACCCAAGNUAAGUUCGNCUNACCUAAUUUCUAANGANUUUUNGUNGGGUGGNGGUUNUCUGGUGGGGGGGGNAAGAUCACGAGGGGCAUCAUGUAUNACCCNUUGUGAAAAAAUUGAGGAGGUGUUUAAAGGCCAGGCCUACAGCGCCUGUGAAUAACAUUAGGCCAGUGGAAUAAUGAAAUAGGACGUCUAUGAUUCUAUUUUGUUGGUUUCUAGGAUCGACCGUAAUGAUUAAUAGGGAUAGUUGGGGGCAUUAGUAUUCAAUUGUCAGAGGUGAAAUUCUUGGAUUUAUUGAAGACUAACUUACUGCGAAAGCAUUUGCCAAGGAUGUUUUCAUUAAUCAAGAACGAAAGUUAGGGGAUCGAAGACGAUCAGAUACCGUCGUAGUCUUAACCAUAAACUAUGCCGACUAGGGAUCGGAUGAUGU